ensembl:misc_RNA Metazoa_SRP Metazoan signal recognition particle RNA
GCUGGGCGUGGUGGCUCAUGCCUGUAAUCCAGGUACUUUGGGAGGCUGAGACAGGCGGAUCACCUGAGGUCAGGAGUUCGAGACCAGCCUGGCCAACAUGGUGAAACCCCGUCUCUA